rnacentral:rRNA from 1 species
GUGGGGAAUCUUGCGCAAUGGGCGAAAGCCUGACGCAGCCAUGCCGCGUGAAUGAUGAAGGUCUUAGGAUUGUAAAAUUCUUUCACCGGGGACGAUAAUGACGGUACCCGGAGAAGAAGCUCCGGCUAACUUCGUGCCAGCAGCCGCGGUAAUACGAAGGGGGCUAGCGUUGCUCGGAAUUACUGGGCGUAAAGGGCUCGUAGGCGGACAGCUUAGUCAGAGGUGAAAGCCCAGGGCUCAACCUUGGAAUUGCCUUUGAUACUGGCUGUCUUGAGUUUGGGAGAGGUGAGUGGAACUCCGAGUGUAGAGGUGAAAUUCGUAGAUAUUCGGAGGAACACCAGUGGCGAAGGCGACUCACUGGCCCAAUACUGACGCUGAGGCGCGAAAGCGUGGGGAGCAAACAGGAUUAGAUACCCGAGUAGUCC